rnacentral:rRNA from 1 species
GACGAACGCUGGCGGCGUGCUUAACACAUGCAAGUCGAACGGAAAGGCCCUGCUUUUGUGGGGUGCUCGAGUGGCGAACGGGUGAGUAACACGUGAGUAACCUGCCCUUGACUUUGGGAUAACUUCAGGAAACUGGGGCUAAUACCGGAUAGGAGCUCCUGCUGCAUGGUGGGGGUUGGAAAGUUUCGGCGGUUGGGGAUGGACUCGCGGCUUAUCAGCUUGUUGGUGGGGUAGUGGCUUACCAAGGCUUUGACGGGUAGCCGGCCUGGGAGGGUGACCGGCGACAUUGGGACUGAGAUACGGCCCAGACUCCAACGGGAGGCAGCAGUGGGGAACAUUGCACAAUGGGCGGGAGCCUGAUGCAGCAACGCCGCGUGCGGGAUGACGGCCUUCGGGUUGUAAACCGCUUUCGCCUGUGACGAAGCGUGAGUGACGGUAAUGGGUAAAGAAGCACCGGCUAACUACGUG